GCCGGGGUGGCGAAAUCGGAAGACGCGGGGGACUUAAAAUCCUCUGGGGCCUUAACCCCGUGCCGGUUCGAGUCCGGCCCCCGGCA
rnacentral:tRNA from 1 species